ACGGGAGGCAGCAGUGGGGAAUAUUGCACAAUGGGCGCAAGCCUGAUGCAGCAACGCCGCGUGAAGGAAGACGGUUUUCGGAUUGUAAACUUCUGUUCUUAGUGAAGAAUAAUGACGGUAGCUAAGGAGCAAGCCACGGCUAACUACGUGCCAGCAGCCGCGGUAAUACGUAGGUGGCAAGCGUUGUCCGGAAUUACUGGGUGUAAAGGGAGCGCAGGCGGGAGAUCAAGUCAGCUGUGAAAUCCAUGGGCUUAACCCAUGAACUGCAGUUGAAACUGUUCUUCUUGAGUGAAGUAGAGGUUGGCGGAAUUCCGAGUGUAGCGGUGAAAUGCGUAGAUAUUCGGAGGAACACCGGUGGCGAAGGCGGCCAACUGGGCUUUUACUGACGCUGAGGCUCGAAAGUGUGGGGAGCAAACAGGAUUAGAUACCCUGGUA
rnacentral:rRNA from 2 species